rnacentral:lncRNA from 1 species
AUCCAAAUGUAAGCAGAAAGCGUGACGGCGGCGCUCGUUAAUCGUCGUGUUUUUCUGCGAUCUUAACUCUUGCAUCGCUUUUUCACUCCAUACCAUUGGGCCAACAAACUUCUUGUCUUCAGUCAUGCAAGUGUAUGCAAGAAAGCCCAAUCACAGCAUCACAGCAGACCAAUGUCAGGCAUGGAUUCACCAUACCAGAAGGAUCUUAACAAGAUGCUUGGCUGAUGAAAACAUCCAAUAUGAUGUGGCUGAGAAUCUGCGGCCAAAUCUACAAGACCUAUGUGACUACCUCUGGAAGCUCAUCAAGAGAAUGCCAAGAGUGUGCAAAGCAAUAAUCAAAGCUAAAGGUGGCUUCUAGAAUAUGACAUAUUUUCAGUUGUUGCACACUUUUUUUUUUUGGUUAUGUACAUAAUUCCACAUGUGUUAAUUCAUAGUUUUGAUGCCUUCAGUGUGAACCUACAAUUUUCAUAGUCAUGAAGAUAAAGAAAACUCUUUGAAUGAGAAGGUGUGUCCAAACCUGAUGUGAUCUAAUAUUCAGAAAAUAUUAAUAAUAAUAAUCAUUCAUUCAGUCA